GUAGUCAGUGGCUCUGUUUGCGCUUCGGGAGUAACGAAGUACUAACAUGUGUGAUAUCAUACACGGUUCCUUGGUACUUGCGCUGGAGGAAAUAUUCGUGUGCAGUUUGAACUUCAGACUGUAGUCUGGUGGUCGGGAGGAAGGUCUGCGUGAAGUCGUUACAAUUCUUCCAGGCUCGGUUAAGAAUCGGGGGAACUCGGAUGGUCCAUGGAGCUAUCGUGACAUCUUAACCACUUGACGAAGCAAACUACGCUUGUGAGAAAGGUUCUGUUACCAUAAGCCAAACUUCCUGAGCCUAGAUAACUUUUCGCAAGUUACGCAAAACUGGACAACUUCCUUUCCCAGGUUUAGCUUUAAAGGUUAAAUUUGUGAUUCAUUCAACCAAACUAACCUUUCCUUAUUUUUUUUAUACCUCCACCCCUACAGGGGCGGGGCUCCUGUAGGGGGGGAGGCCCCUCCCAUGCCCUGUUCCAUGGGUCGAUUUAACUUAAAAUGUGGCAAGUGCAUUAGUCUAGUUAAUUUUUAGUUAACGUGCCCUGACUGAGAUUAGUUUUCAGUAUCAUUAUAGAUUUCAAAGUAACAGAGCUGCUUUCAUCAAGUGCUAAAAGAUUUUUAAAAUUUUUAUAUCAUGAGAUUAAAUUAAUAUUGCCUCAUUUACUUUGCUAGUAAGAUAUGAUUUUCCAUACUAGUUCAGCAGUAAUUUAGUUUUACUUUUGCAUCUGUACUCUUCAGAUUAAAAGAACGUUAACCCUCAAAAUGAUUUGACAUUUCAAGUUAAUUUUUUGGUAAUGCAUUGAUUGAAACUUUAGGAAUGAACGUACAUUUUUUAUUUUUUAAAGUACUUCUGUUAACGUAACUUGAAUUUAAGGGUUAUAACUUGAGUGAUAUUUGUCAAUGCAAUGAGCAUGCCUUUCUUUCACUUCCGUAUAAUACAACCCUAUAAUACUACUAUUCUUAGUUGUGGAGCUAUGUCUAUUAUACAAUUAAUAAAACCCAUAGCAGAGUUACAGGCAAG